AAGUCUGUUGGGAGGGAUCUCUUC
rnacentral:siRNA from 1 species